rnacentral:rRNA from 1 species
UACGGGGGGUGCAAGCGUUAUCCGGAUUCACUGGGCUUAAAGGGUGCGUAGGCGGGUGAGUAAGUCAGUGGUGAAAUCUUCGAGCUUAACUCGGAAACUGCCGUUGAUACUACUUGUCUUGAAUACCGUGGAGGUGAGCGGAAUAUGUCAUGUAGCGGUGAAAUGCUUAGAUAUGACAUAGAACACCAAUUGCGAAGGCAGCUCACUACACGAAUAUUGACUCUGAGGCACGAAAGCGUGGGGAUCAAACAGG